UACGUAGGGGGCGAGCGUUGUCCGGAGUUACUGGGCGUAAAGCGCCCGCAGGCGGUGCGCCAAGUGUGGGGUGACAGCGACCGGCUUAACCGGUCGAGUGUCCUACAGACUGGCGCACUUGAGGGCCACAGAGGAACACAGAGUUCCGGGUGGAGUGGUGAAAUGCGUAGAUAUCCGGAGGAAUACCAAAGGCGAAGGCAGUGUUCUGGGUGGUACCUGACGCUCAGGGGCGAAAGCUAGGGGAGCGAACGGG
rnacentral:rRNA from 1 species